ACCCUCCUCAACUCACAAGGUUGACCUCGGAUCAGGUAGGAAUACCCGCUGAACUUAA
rnacentral:rRNA from 1 species